rnacentral:rRNA from 1 species
GACGAACGCUGGCGGCGUGCCUAACACAUGCAAGUCGAGCGGAAAGGCCCUUCGGGGUACUCGAGCGGCGAACGGGUGAGUAACACGUGAGUAACCUGCCCCAGACUUUGGGAUAACCCUCGGAAACGGGGGCUAAUACCGGAUACGACACAGCUUCGCAUGGGGUCUGUGUGGAAAGUUUUUCGGUUUGGGAUGGGCUCGCGGCCUAUCAGCUUGUUGGUGGGGUGAUGGCCUACCAAGGCGACGACGGGUAGCCGGCCUGAGAGGGCGACCGGCCACACGGGGACUGGGACACGGCCCAGCCCCCUAGGGGGGGCAGGAGGGGGGAAUUUUGCCAAAGGGGGGGAAGCCUGAUGCGGCGCCCCCGGGGGGGGGAUGACGGCCUUCGGGUUGAAAACCUUUUUCAGCAGGGACGAAGGGUAAGUGACGGUACCUGCAAAAGAAACCCCGGCCAACUACGU